rnacentral:rRNA from 1 species
UAAUACGUAGGGUGCGAGCGUUAUCCGGAAUCAUUGGGCGUAAAGAGCUCGUAGGCGGUUCAGUAAGUCGGCUGUGAAAUUUCGAGGCUCAACCUCGAAACUGCAGUCGAAACUGCUGUGACUCGAGUCCGGUAGAGGAGAAUGGAAUUCCCGGUGUAGCGGUGAAAUGCGCAGAUAUCGGGAGGAACACCAGUAGCGAAGGCGGUUCUCUGGGCCGGCACUGACGCUGAGGAGCGAAAGCGUGGGUAGCAAACAGGAUUAGAUACCCUGGUAGUCCACGCCGUAAACGUUGGAUACUAGGUGUGGCGUCCCGAUUAACGGUCGCCGUGCCGAAGCUAACGCAUUAAGUAUCCCGCCUGGGGAGUACGGCUGCAAGGCUA